GGGGUAUAGCUCAGCUGGCUAGAGCACCUGCCUUGCAAGCAGGGGGUCGUCGGUUCGAAUCCGACUAUCUCC
rnacentral:tRNA from 1 species